rnacentral:lncRNA from 1 species
CGCGGGAGGUGGCGGAAGUGCAGGCCAAAGGGCGGAGGGGGUCCUGGCGAAGCGGGUGGAGAGCCUGAGGUGGCCCGGGCCCGGCCCCGCCUACCUCUUAUCACCUCGGGGACGCUGGACCCCGCACCAGAUCUGUGCCCGGGCUUUUCUACAGAAGGCAGCUCCCGCUGGGCACGAUCCAGGCACCGGGCAACGGAGACGCCCCGAUCACGGGCGAAGUGGGCACGGGGGAGCGGCUAGCUUGGGAGGAGGGCAGAGGAGCCGAGUGGAGACAGCAGGUAUUGUCUGGGUGGUUGGGGCACGUGGUCCAGGCCGCGGACACCGCUGAAGCUGGGCGGGAGGCGCAGGGCACCUAAAGCGGAAGAAUGCGCCCCGGAGGCGGGAAGGGCGGGGCAGAGAAUGCGCAGAACUUUUUCGGUAGAAGAGACCUAGCACUCGACGCGUCGACGACCCAAAUAUCGGGGUCCCUGACAGCCGCGGUGAAAUCUGGCGCAAAUCCUACGGGAGGAGAUGGACUGAAUCAGCCCCCCGCCCCGACUCCGAGGGGAGGCCCCGGUCCCUCAAAGGCAGAGCCUGUGAUGUUUCCAUCCAUCUCUUCUGUGCUCAACAAGGAUCACAUGCUCAAUAGAAACCUGUUUGAAAGACUGAAGGAGAGCUGCUUCCUGUUAGUGUCCAUUUGAAUACUGCUGUUUAAAAAAAGUCAGGGCUCACACCCAUUGGGAUUGCUACUAUCAAAACAACAAAAAACAACAAGUGUUGACGAGCAUUUGGAGAAAGGGAACCCUCGUGCACUGCUGGUCGGGGUGUAGAAUGAUGCAGCCACUGUAGAAAACAGUAAAAAAAUUAAACACAAUUACUUUAUGACCUAGCAAUUCCACUUCUGGGUGAAUACACAAAGGAAUUGAAAGCAGGGUCUGGAAGAGAUGUUUGUACACCCAUGUUCACAGCAAUAUUAGUUACAGUCGCCAAAAGGUGGAAGCAAUGCAAGUCUCCAUGACAGAUGAGUGGAUAAGGAAAAUGUCCAACCAUACAAUAGUAAAUAUUACUCAACCUUUUAAAAGGAAAGACAUUGUAUCACAUGCUACAACAUUGAUAAAUUCAGAGGACAUUAUACUCUGUGAAAUCAGCAGUCACAAAAGGACAAAUACUAUUUUACUCCACUAAGAUGAGGUUCCUAGAGUAGUCAGAAAUCAUAGGGACAUAAAGUAGAAUGGUAGUUACCAGGAUCUGGGAGAAGGGAACGGGGAAUUGUUUAAUGGGAAUGGUUUCAGUUUUACAAAAUGAAAAGGGUUCUCAAGAUGGAUGGUUGUGAUGGGUCCACCGUAUGAAUACGCUUAAUACCACCAAACUGUAUACUUAAAAAUGGUUAAGAUGGCAAACACUGUGUAUAUUUUACCACAGUUUUUUUUUAAUUUUGGAAAAAAGUCAGGGCUGAAAACUGGCUUUGUGCUUUGAAAAAGGGCACCUCUUCAAGUAUAUUCUUAGUUUACUCAGUGAGAAAACCACAUUUUGCAAAUACUUCGAGGAUUUUUGCUGACAAGAUCACCAGCUGAUGCUUUUCCACAGGCUGGAGGCAUAGGGAAACCUAAGCUUGCUUGCUUGCUUAUUUAGUUAGCUAAUUUAUUUAUUUUGAGAGGAAUGAGAGAGAGAGAGAGAGAGAGAGAGAGAGAGAGAGAGGCAAGGGCAGCUUGGAGCCUGACUCAGGGCUCAAUCCCACAAACCAAGAUCAUGACCUGAGUUGAAAUCAAGAGUUGGAUGCUCAACUAGCUGAGCCUCCCAGGCGCCCCAACCUAAGCUUUUAAAGGCUUUUUAACUGAUUACUCCAGACCCACCAGGAUACUUAAAAUCAGUUGAUUAGGUGCUUUAAUCACAUCUGCAAAAUCACUUCACAACAGCCUUUGGGUUAGUGUCUAAGUAUUAGGUAGGUGUGUGAGCUACAAAUGACCACCAUUUCCUUCCUCCUGCAUAGCCUGCCACUCAGGAAUUCAGCUGAAAGGGAAUUCUGGGGGCAGUUUAGCCCGGUGACUUGACACACUAAAAGUCAUUUCAAACACUAGAGUAAUCCUGUUUGUAAAAACACAGGCACACAUAGGCUGAAUAUUUGAAAUGUAGAGAAAAAAGUCUGGAAUGAACUACCCAGACUUAACAGGUGUAUGUCUGGGGAGUAAGGUGGGAAUGUGGGACAAGGGAAGAGGGAAAUAUUUCCUAUUUUUGUAUUGAGAUUUCGUUACUGUUUUACUGCAAAUAUGUAGUAUUUCUGUAACUUAACCAAAGUAAAGAAAGUGUUUUAUAAAAUCCUGGGGUGGACAAGGCCUUUCUAAUCACAACAAGACAGUUUUGCCCAUAGGGAAUAUGUAUUUUUCUUAUUAAAAACCUCAUAACUAAAAGCAAAUAAGGAACUGGGAAAAAAUAUUUGUAAUAUAUCACUUCCUCAAGUGUAUGACGCAGUUUCCAUCCCAUCUCUUCCAUGCUCACCCACCACCAAAAGACCUGUGGUUUGUAUCACAGUUGAAGAAACAGGUAUUAAGGGAAAGGGAUUGGAGCUCAACACAGAGGCUUAAAAACCUAAUAAAAAUAGGUACAAGAGCUUACAGGGAAUUUACUCACGAAAAGGCCAAGAAAUAUAAAUGAAAACAAGACUGGCAUUUUUCAUGAUUAAUCAAAUGGUUAAAAACAGUCCCUCCACAUCUGUAACCCUGAUGGGGAAAGUCCACCUCAGCCACAAGCAAAUGUGCACAGGUCUGCUACGGGGCCAACAAAUACAGUGAAGGUGUGAGGAAAGGACAGAUGUGUGACAGUAAGGAAGCUGCUACCUAAACCAGUCAGCAGGGACACGGUUCUAAGCAAAGUAAACCCCGAUUUGUAAAACAAAUACCAUACGUGUGCAUUAGAAAGAGUCAGGGGGUGGGGAGGCACCUGCGUGACUCACUUGGUUAAGCAUCCGACUUUGGUUCAGGUCAUAGUCUCGUGGGUUCGAGCCCCACGUCGGGGUUCUGUGCUGACAGCAAGAGCCUGCAGCCUGGGUUAGAUUCUGUGUCUCCCGACAAUAAAUAAACAUUAAAAAAAAAUUUUUUUUUAAGAGGCUAAGGGGGUGCCUGGGUGGCUCAGUCAGUUAACUGUCCAACUCUUGAUCUUGGUUUUGGUCAUGUCUUGUGAUUCAUGAGAUCGAGCUCUGCUGAGAGCACAGAAACUGCUUGGGAUUCUCUCUCUCCUCUCUCUGUGCCUCCCCAACUCAUGUUCUCUCUGUCUCAAAAUAAAUAAAUAAGCAUUAAAAUUUAAAAAAAGAGGCUAAGAAAACACACCAAACAUCGCUGUAGUGAUCUCUGAAGAGUGAGACCAAAGGGCAGUUUUUUACAUUUCUGAGUUCUUGCAUUUCCCAAAUGUCCUAAAAUAAAUUUAUAUUUGGGGGAAAAAUGAUUAAAAAAUACACAUUCACUGGUAGCUCUCCUUGGGGCUGGCGGCUUCCUUUCUGGCACACCUUUUGUAAGAUGCUGUAGAAGCCCCUCAGUGUUCUCAGGGCUCCUGGGGUCGGGGGGCUGAUGAAGAAGAAGGGUCACUAAGAGAUGGCCCCUCUCACCAGCGGCCACCCAGGGAAGCUUCUCCCCAGUGAAUACCUUCUGCUGACAGGCCUGCUGAGGGAUCACACUUAGCCUGGCUGGGGCUCCCAAGGCACUGCCUGGGAGCCUGCAGACCCCACUCCCGAGUCCUGCUUCAGCCACCACUACCCCUCCAGCUUUGCCGUGGCUUGUCAACAAACCCUAGGUCUACCUGAGAGUUCCCAACAUCUCCAUGGCAGGUGUUGUGUGAAUUCUAGUCCUCUGCCCCACUAGGUGGCUGGGUCCCCUGGCAACAGUCUGAUCUUGGUCAAUUCUAGCAACAAAUGAACAUCCAAAAAAAAAAAAAAAAGCCAACAGAUUCCGCUCCCCUCCCCCCAUCACAAGUCAAUAUUUGGAAAACCGAGGAGUGGAAAGAGAAAACGA